rnacentral:rRNA from 1 species
UACGGGGGGAGCAAGCGUUGUUCGGAUUUACUGGGCGUAAAGGGCGCGUAGGCGGUCAGCACAAGUCAGUUGUGAAAUCUCCGGGCUUAACUCGGAAAGGUCAACUGAUACUGUGCGACUAGAGUGCAGAAGGGGCAACUGGAAUUCUCGGUGUAGCGGUGAAAUGCGUAGGUAUCGAGAGGAACACCUGCGGCGAAGGCGGGUUGCUGGGCUGACACUGACGCUGAGGCGCGAAAGCCAGGGGAGCGAACGGG